AGGCCCGUCUAUCUAGGAGGUUUUAGCUUAAUUAAAGUGUUUGAGUUGCAUUCAGGAGAUGUAAAUUAAAGUUUUACAAGCCU
rnacentral:tRNA from 1 species